GACGGGGGGGGCAAGUGUUGUUCGGAAUUACUGGGCGUAAAGGGCUCGUAGGCGGCCAACUAAGUCAGACGUGAAAUCCCUCGGCUUAACCGGGGAACUGCGUCUGAUACUGGAUGGCUUGAAUCCGGGAGAGGGAUGCGGAAUUCCAGGUGUAGCGGUGAAAUGCGUAGAUAUCUAGAGGAACACCGGUGGCGAAGGCGGCAUCCUGGACCGGCAUUGACGCUGAGGAGCGAAAGCCAGGGGAGCAAACGGG
rnacentral:rRNA from 1 species